UUGGAGGGCAAGUCUGGUGCCAGCAGCCGCGGUAAUUCCAGCUCCAAUAGCGUAUAUUAAAGUUGUUGCAGUUAAAAAGCUCGUAGUUGGAUUUCGGGGUUCUACCGUUGGUCGGGCUUUGUCUGUACUGGCGUGUAGAAUUUCUACCUUCUGGGGAACCACCAUGUUAUUAAUUUAGCGUGGUGGGAAACCAGGACCUUUACCUUGAAAAAAUUAGAGUGUUCAAAGCAGGCCUAUGUCUGAAUACAUUAGCAUGGAAUAAUAGAAUAGGACGGUGGUCCUGUUUUGUUGGUUUCUGAAUCACCGUAAUGAUUAAUAGGGAUAGUUGGGGGCAUUAGUAUUCAAUUGUCAGAGGUGAAAUUCUUGGAUUUAUUGAAGACUAACUUCUGCGAAAGCAUUUGCCAAGGAUGUUUUCAUUAAUCAAGAACGAAAGUUAGGGGAUCGAAGACGAUCAGAUACCGUCGUAGUCUUAACCAUAAACUAUGCCGACUAGGGAUCGGACGAUGUUAAUUUUUCUUGACUCGUUCGGCGCCUUACGGGAAAC
rnacentral:rRNA from 1 species